rnacentral:lncRNA from 1 species
UGAGACUCAGCACCAAGACAUGCAAUAAAUAUACAUAUAAAGCAGUACCAAACAAUCCAAUUCUCAAUUCCAUGAAUCAUAAACAAAAAGGUGUCUAAAUUUCCAUAGAAUCAAUCAAAUUCAGCAUUAAAAAGCAUCGAAAACCAAAUUUUGCAGUUAAAGAAUGAAGUAAAGAACAUUAGAAAAGAGAGUGGCUUGGACCACCGUCUUCUGCAUCAGAGAAAUACAAUACCAUCAUCAUCAUCACUCCCAAGACCUCCAACAACAGCAUCAUCUUCAUGAUUUCCUUGCUCUAAAUCAAUAACAUGGGACAUCUGCUGUUUGUUAAUUUUUUGAAAGCAUCAAUUUGAUUUAAAAUUAAAAUACAGCAACAAAUAAUCACCCUAAAAGCUUAAACUCUGAAAUCAAUAAAUCUAUCAACAAAAAUUCAAAAACAGCAUACUCAUAGAUUAAAAAAACAACAGCAGCUGAGUAACAAAUCCAUUUUUAGCAAUAAUUUCGACAACACAAAAUCAAUUUCUUUGAUUGAUUUCACAUUCAAAAAAUCACUAAUCAAAUUCAGAACAGACUUAGCAGAAUAAUAACAAUACAAUCCAAUUACAAUAUCACAGCAACCCACUACCCAAUAUCUUAACAAACAACAUCCAAACAAUUAAUCAUGCUUCAAGCAAACAGUUUUUCAACAAUUAAUCAUGCUUCAGCCUUCAAGCAAUAGCUUCAACAAUUAAUUAUGCUUAAAGCCAAGGUUGUCAAACUCGCGAGUCUAGGUAAACUCGUAGAGCUGACCUAGACUCGACUCGUAGACUCGUAUGAGUUUACCUGUUAUAAUUUUUUGUAAAAAAUAUAUAUAUCGUGUAUAAGAUAUAUGUUUACUCAAAUAUAGGCAUUAAAACUCAACAAUUUCAACAUAAAAAAAACAUAAUAAAUAACAUAAUACUACAAUUAUAACAAGUAUUCUAGAACACACAUUCAAAUCCUUCCGUAACUAUCUUUUUAAACAUACCUGAAUCUGAAUGGCUGAAUGGAGUAGGCUCAGUUGAGAAACCAGCCAUUGCUGUGCUAUGCAAGCAGACAAGAACGAAUGACAACAGAGUACACGACUAACCGGCAGAGGACAUGAACGCAACGACCGAAAGAGGAUGUGAUGAAUGACGGUAGCGUGGCGACGGCAGAGGCUCCACGAGUUCACGAGCUUUCAUGCAUAAUAGAGUCAAUAGAGAGCAGAAUGAGAGAGUGAGAAUGAGGAAAUAGUGGAGAGAGAGACAAUGACGAGCUAUUUGGGGAACGACAAAUGGCGAACGGCGGCGAGGGACAGAUGAAACGCGAAGAGGGCUUGGAGAAGAGAGUGACUGAGUAAGUGUGGCGAGAAAAGUGAGGGAUUUAGCUGUUUAAAGUUACGUUCAUACGUUGCUCCUUUUUUCCUCUUUUUUUGGGCCCAAAACGGCUCCGUUUUUGCGAAAAAGGCCAAACAAAGCAAACUCGCUGACUCACCCGUAAACUCGCGAGUUUGACCGAGUUUAUGCGAGUCUACCCAAAAACGAGUUUCUGUCCGAGUUAACUCGAUUCCACUACCUACGAGUUUACGAGUUAACUUGAGAGUUUGACAACAAUGCUUAAAGCAAUCAGCUUCAACAAUUAAUCAUUUAAUAAUGCUUCAAAUGGGUGUUGACCCGGUCUGUAUGCGAAUGGUGUUGCUGAAUAAAAUGAUGAAUGUAGAACCAACAAUUAAUCAUACUUCAAGUAAUAACAGCAAUGUUUAUAAGUUAGAACCAGCAAUUAAUCAUACUUCAACAAAUUAGAUUUAUACCUAGGGUUAGUGGAAGAAUGCAGAUCUGAUGGCGACAGGGACAGCGGCUGGGGUGGAAGGGUCGAAUAGAGCUGGCGCCGGUGGGAAGACACUCGCGACGACAACUGGCACUGGCAGUGGCUGCGAUUUUGACGGCUGAAAAGAAAGGUAGCUAAGCGAACGGAAAGCUGGCUGAAAGGAACUUGCGACGGCGGCGGUGGCUGGGCGGAGGUUGCGUCGGAAGCUCGAGGUGGAGAGUGGAGACGCGGGAACUGAGAGCGAGAGGUGACUGGUGAGCGUGGAGGGCUGAGGCUCGAGAGUGUGCUGUGGGUGUCUGGGUGAAAGCACUAGGGUUCCCUUUCAGCUGCCAAGUCAAAACGCAGCGUUUUUCACAGUUUUGGUAAAAUUUCAAAAACCGGCCAGGUCACGGUUCGGUUCGACCGACCAGUUCAGCGGUCCAAAAUGAAAAACCAUCAAAUUCAAAAAUCGAAUUUGGACGGCCGAACCGACCGGAAACCGGUCGGUCGAACCGAACCGUGACCCGGCCGGUUUUUGAAAUUUUGCCAAAACUGUGAAAAACACUGCGUUUUGACUUGGCAGCUAAAAGGGAACCCUAGUUUUUGGCCUUCACCUAGACACCCACAGCACACUCUCGAGCCUCAGCCCUCCACGCUCACCAGUCACCUCUCGCUCUCAGUUCCCGCGUCUCCGGCCAGUCUCCACUCUCCACCUCGAGCUUCCGGCACAACCUCCGCCCAACCACCGCCGCCGUCGCAAGGUCCGUGGAAGUCACUCACCAUCGCAAGUUCCUUUCAGCCAGCUUUCCGUUCGCUCAGCUACCUUUCCUUUCAGCCGUCAAAAUCGCAGCCACCGCCAGUUGCCGUCGCGAGUGUCUUCCCACCGGCGCCAGCUCUAUUCGACCCUUCCACCCCAGUCACUGUCCCUGUCGCCGUCAAAUCUGCAUUCUUCCCUAUCUUCCACUAGCAAUGGUUCAGCAAAGAGCACAACAAAGUGUAUCUGGUUCUAGUGGAGGCUCUCUUGGUGGGUUGGCCGAUGGUAGCACAAGAGUACAAGGUCCGGGUGGUACCGCCUUGUCAUCUGAUGUUCAAGUUCACCAAAGCUCUCAAUCUGCGGGUGGAAGUGGAAUUGGAUCCCAUGAUGGUGGAAACUCACAUGGGCAAGAAGCUGAAAGGUCUACAAGUGCAGAAAGCAGCAUGCAUAAUGGUAAUGAUCAACCUCUGCAGCAAGGUACCGCAAAGUCGCAAACCUCAAUGAAGCUGGGCAGAAUACGUUAAGGCGUGCUGGUGCUUUAGGUUUUGUGGCAUCUGCUGCCAGUGCUUUUGAUGCUGCAAAAGACAUAAUGGAGGCUCUUAGGAGCAAGCAUGCUAAUUUGGCUAGUGAACUUGAGGUGAUUUUUAUUCCGUGUUUUUAAGUUGCUUCACAGUAAAUGCAUACACCCUCACCUUCGCUAAUCCCUAUAAUUAUGAGUCUGCAUGCAUAAGGCUGCUCUUGUCCCUCAGAAACAAAUCAUGCUUGCAAUAAUAGUAUUUCAAUAGUUGUACAUUUUACUUGUUAAAUGGACCGUUGAGUCAGUGGUGAGUGGAAAUGAAAGACAUAUUGUUCUAGGAAAAAAGAGUUAGAUAUAUAAUAAACUUAUAUAUUAAGUUUUUGGCGGUGUUACAAGUCUCUUAUCUUUUAAUAUAUAAUUUUAAAUAUUUAAAUUUAAUGAUUUUUAAGUCGAUAAAAUUUUACAAUUUUACCUAAUAAAUUAUCCAUAAUUUAUCAUUAAAAAUUCACAAACAUAUUCAAACAUAAAAAUUUAUAACUAAUAAAAAUCAAAAUGCACAUAAAUGACAAAUCGGAAUAAGAAACAACUCAAUCAGAAAAAUCAGCAUAAACAAAGAAAAAUUCCAACAUAAACAAUGGAGUGAAACUCUGCACCACAGCACCAUCAACAACUCAAAUCAGAAAAAUCACUAUAAACAAUGCAAAAUCAGAAUCAUAGCAUAAAUAACUCACAAUUGAUUCCAGCAUAAACAAUUUGGCGCAUUGAGUUGAAUUGAAUCAAGUCAGUCCAUGUUUAUUGCUUAAUAACUUUCUGUUACGGUAAGUGUUACUCUCAUUGAUCAAUGCAGUUUAUUUUAUUCGUUUACCUCAACUUGGUGAGUCUACUUUUUGUCCAUAUGAUUAUCCCCAAUGGUUAUUUCUAUCAGUACUGCAUAAUCUAAUGCAUAAGGUGCAGCAGGCACCAUCAAUUCAUGUUGGAAAACACUAAGCAAUGCAUGAAAGAUGUAUAAUAUAGGAUUCCUAAAUCAUGGAGUCAUGACAAUUAAUCAAAUCUUUUACUUUUGAACAAAAGCAAAGGUCCUAGGUAUGCAGGCACUUACUUUUUUUGCCACCACUAGCAUAAAAUUUCCAGCCAUAAAGUACAAAUUAAAUAUAGGAUGUAGCUUCAACAUGAAAACUCUGUUUUGUGUUUCAAAAAGUGGUGGGCACAAGGAAAACUUUCAAGUAAAUAUAUUCAGCAAGAGAAGCUCUGAUUAACAUUUAAAAUAAUGGUAUGACUUGAAUAUAUUUGUAGUUAUAUAUACAACAUAGGUGACAAUCUACUAGAACAUCAAAGAUAAUGCUACCAUUUUAUGUUAUCAACCACUGACUAAGGUCUUAAACAUUCUUCAACAGAUGCACUUAUUAGAUUUUAAACCUUUCCUCACUUUGAUCCACUCUUCAAUUCUGUUUUCUAUUUUGCUAUUGCUGUUAAAUUUCUUACCUCAGGUACCAGUUGAUACAGUGAAUCUCAACAUGCUUCCUAUUCUUGAAAAUCCAAACACAAGCAAGGUUGCGAACAGAGAGAGAGAAGAGCUCGAACAGAGGAGACGACGACGGUCACAGAGCAUCCACACGACGGCGAGGG